GAAAUUUAACGAUUUCCAAAGCACAAUCUUCCCAGUCUGGCCAAGAAUUUUUGAAGCACAUAGCACCUUCAGAAUGUAUGCAAACAAGGAACUGACAUUGAAGAAACUGGAUAGUAGCCUUCUUUCCCUGGAACAAAAUGAUAUUGGAUACAUUUGCUAUAUUGCCAGCUCUUACUCGUUGUGCUGGGAAUUGCUUUCAAGUCCUGUGACUCCAGGGAGAACUCAGCCCAUUUCACAGGAUGUUUAAUGUGUGCUCACAAAUAGAUUCCAUCAGCUCUCCUACGGCACCCAGGAGGUCAGCUGCCCCAUGGAGGAAGCAAGAUUUGUGUGCAUUAGAAAUAAAUGAACUGUUGGAGAUAGGAUCUUCUUUGUUGACAAAACAAGUCUUGAAGAUAAGAGAUCAAGGCUUCUAGUUAAAUGGAGCAGUGACCUUAUCAGAAAUCUCAAAGCAGAAAAGUCUGUCAGAAAAACAGCAUCAGAUCAAGGAAACCAAGUACAUGGAGCUAAUUUUUGGCUCUAAAG